UCCACGGUAGCUCAAUUGGUGUUAGAGCAACACCCCAGCAUGGUGGAGAUUCUGGGUUCGAGUCCCAGUCGUGGCA